CGCACGGGCUGUGGGGACUGCGGCCUGGUCUUUGUGGGGCAGUGGUGGCGGUGAGUGGAGGCUGCAGCCGGAGGAUCUGUACUGAGCGCCCAGUGUGGGCCUGCGCUGUUCCAGAUCAGAUUCUGCAGCGAGGAGGACAGGCAUGGCCGGCCUCCGUGGAGCCAAUGUUGUAUGAGGAGGCAGAUGGUUAUCAAAGGAACAAGCCAGUUGCCUGAGGAGCUGGCAUCUUAGCUGAACAGAGGGAAGGACUCAGGGAGAAUGUUUCAGGGUGAAGUCAACAAAUCAACAUUUGUCAUCUUGGUUUUUUUCAGUUCAAGGAAAGUGAGCACAGGGCAUAUCCAAAGACUUGCCACAACCCCUCACGGGGAUGGUAAUGGAAGUCAUCAGAGAAGACAUUUCAUGUGGCUCUGCCUUCCCAGACUGGUGCUCCUGAGGCCUGCUCAAGGAACCAGAACAGAAGUUCUGCUGGAGAUGUGGAGGAACAUUUGCUUUUCUGGGAAGAAGAUUUAAAGCAACAGUCAGUUCCUGACAUGGAAACUCCUAGUGUGGGGAGAGGCUGUGGAGGCAGUGAAGUUGUGAGAAGUGUCAGGAUACCUUCCAGCCCUAUCAAACAAGAGAGUGUUGCUGUGGAGAAGAAACCGCACAUGUUAGUUGCACAUGGAGGGAGCUUUGAGCAAGUUCCAGGGCCAGCUGUGUUGUAGGCAGCCUGUGUGAACAGGAUACCCUGAAGGUGCAGCUUCUGUGGGAAGAGUUUCAAGCAGCACUUGGCCCUCAGUGUGCACGAGAGGACUCACACGGGGAAAAGCCCUAUCCAUGCAGCACCUGUGUGAAAGUCUUUUGGUGCUAGUCCAACCUCACUGUGCACCAGAGGAUCCACACUGGAGCGAAAUCCUACGAAUGCCAGGAGUGUGCGAAAGUCUUCAUUCAGAACUCCACACUCACACUGCACCAGAGGACCUACACCAGAGAGAAGCCACACAAAUGCAGGGAGUGGAGCAAGGCCUUCCAGGGAAGUUCAGACCUGUGGAAACACCAGCAGAUUCACACAGGGGAGAAGCACUAUGAGUGUCAGGAGUGUGGGAAAGCCUUCAGGUGGAGCUAGCCCCACAUCUGCCAUCAGAGGAUGCACAGUGGUGAGAGACCAUAUGCGUGUGGCUGGCGCAGCAAGGCCUUCAUCCAGAGCUCACAGCUUAGCCAGCACCAGCAGAGUCACAUGGGUAAGAAGCCUAUGAGUGCCCAGAGUGCAGCAAGGCCUUCAGCCUGAGCACCUACCUUGCUGAGCACUAGUGGAUCCACAUGGGCGAGAAGCCCUGUGCCUCCCUGAAGUGCGGCAAGGCCUUCAUCCAGCGCUAACACCUCAGCCAGUACCAGCGCACCCACACGGGUGAGAAGCCAUACAUGUGUGUUGAGUGGCAAGGCCUUCCACUACAGUUCAUUUCUCCUCCAGCACCAGAAGCUCCACCCCAGGGAAUAGCCCUGGUGGCUGUGCUCUCACCAUGUCCUAUGUCACCUCUCACCAUCCUGAAGGCCUGAGGCAGCACAUCACCCUCGUCCUGUACCUCACAGGCUCUCAUUGCUUCUCUCCCCUAUGCUGGGCUUUCCCCCCUCACCUGCUCCUUUUUCCAUUUUCUUUCCCUUUAAAAGUUUUUAACAUUUUUUUUAGCUGUAAUUCACAUACCUUAAGUUCAUCCUUCUAAAGUGUACAAUUCAGUGGUUUUUAGUAUAGUCACAAGGUUAUGCAACCAUCAGCACUGUCUAAUUCCAGAACACUUUUAUCACCCCAAAAAGAAACUCCAUACCCUUUAGCACUCUCUAUUCUCCCUGUCCCCCCAGCCCCUGACACCCAGUCAUCUGCUUUCUGCCUCUGUGGAUUUGCCUGUUCUAGAUAUUUUGUGUAAAUGAUCCCUUUGCAUUUUCUGUCCAUCAGUAGAUACACCCCAGGUGUCCUAAUCCAAGGAAUCCUUUGCUUUCCCCAACCAACCUCAUCUCAUCCAUCAAACACUGGGCUGGGCUUUGGCCUGUGGGCAGCACUGGUUGCCUUCAUUUCCUUGGGUCUUGGGCUUCCUUGUGGGUUUCUGCCUUCUGCUGUCAUACUUCUUUUUUUUUUUAAAGAUUGGCACCUGAGCUAACAACUGUUGCCAAUCUCCUUUUUUUUUUCU